rnacentral:lncRNA from 1 species
GUGAAGAAGCAUUUACAGGGAAGACUUUGGUAGAGCCUCAAAGCUCCAAAGGUGUAGAGUGCAAUCGGCUUCCCAUGUCAGAGCUGGGAGGAACCUAGCUAUCCAGGUGAACAGGGGCCCCAUCCUUACAGCCCACACGGAUGGGCCUGAUGGAGUCCUUCUUUUGGUAGUGGCAGUAGGGGGGCCGGGUUCCUGCCUUGGCAACGCAGUCUGUGACGCUGACGUCGUGAGAGCUGUUGUGGCAGCUCUGCAGGGAGCCGUUGCUGGUACAGGGCACAGCUGGAGUUGUGCAGAAAUCUGCUAUGGUAGCCAGAUCCUCGUGAAUGAAGGUGUUGAUCUGCUUGCAUCUACCCCUGUGGAUCAGCCACCGUCGCCUCAUCAUCACAUCACAGUAUCGGUGCUGUCCCCCAGGAACCCAUGACCUGGGGUUAUCUAUGUGCCGUCUUGAGAAGGGCAGGCCUGGAGCGAAGACAGCUAGCUCCAGCAGGAGGAGGAGAAGGGUCCACAUCAGAUUCCUGUUCCCUGUGAAAGCAGAAUCUUUAUCAGCAUCACACAGAGUACCUAUGACAUCACUACAAAUAUGAAGAAAGAAACCUGUACUUUGGCGCCGGUCUUUCACAAACUUGCUCUUGGAGGCGGGCCAAUCACCUCAUCCUACUCAUCUCUAAAGUGAAGAUUAUAGACUAGAGAUCUCUUUUAGUUCAGUCAUUUUCUGUCUUUCAAGCCCUAAUAAAGCAUUGCUUGUGUGUAUGAGUCAAUGUGUGAUUUUCUCUGUGUACCCUAUUGGCUUAUACAUGUUCAGGUAGGGAGAAAUGUUUUGUUUGAAAAUUGAGUUUCCCUUUGUGAUUUGUUAAUCCAAUUAAAUCUAAUUUUUCUGAGAAACAGUUGUUAGUGAAUUUAGGCAAAAAAAAAAAUUCAAUCACUUUUAUGUAAAGAUUAUAUUGUUUUUG